rnacentral:rRNA from 1 species
GACGUAGGGGGCAAGCGUUGUCCGGAUUUAUUGGGCGUAAAGAGCGUGUAGGCGGUUCGGUAGGUCCGUUGUGAAAACUCGAGGCUCAACCUCGAGACGCCGAUGGAAACCCCCGAACUAGAGUCCGGAAGAGGAGAGUGGAAUUCCCGGUGUAGCGGUGAAAUGCGCAGAUAUCGGGAAGAACACCCGUGGCUAAGGCGGCUCUCUAGUACGGUACUGACGCUGAGACGCGAAAGCGUGGGGAGCGAACAGG